UACGAAGGGGGCUAGCGUUGCUCGGAAUCACUGGGCGUAAAGCGCACGUAGGCGGAUUGCUAAGUCAGGGGUGAAAUCCUGGAGCUCAACUCCAGAACUGCCUUUGAUACUGGGAAGCUUGAGUCCGGGAGAGGUGAGUGGAACUCCGAGUGUAGAGGUGAAAUUCGUAGAUAUUCGGAAGAACACCAGUGGCGAAGGCGGCUCACUGGCCCGGCACUGACGCUGAGGUGCGAAAGCGUGGGGAGCAAACAGG
rnacentral:rRNA from 1 species